UAGUGAUAUGCUUGUUUCGAAGAUUAAGCCAUGCAAGUGUUAGUAUAAAUCGAAUGAUGAAACUGCGACAAGCUUAUUAGAACAGUUAGAAUCUACUUGACAAAGAUAUAUAUGGAUAUUUACGGUAAUUCUGUUAAUAAUACAUGCUUCAAGUCAAAUUGACUCGAACUUCAGGAAUUAUCACUCAUAUUAUGAGUGAGUGUGGAGUUGUAUUAAAUCACAAAUGUGAUAUGUUAAUCGACUUUCUGACCUAUCAGCUUCAGUUGGUAAGGUAGUGGCUUACUGAGGCUAUAACGGGUAACGGGGAAUUAGGGUUUGAUUCCGGAGAGGGAGCCUGAGAAAUGGCUACCACAUCUAAGGAUGGCAGCAGGCGCGCAAAUUACCCAAUCCCGACUCGGGGAGGUAGUGAACAGAAAUAACAACUCAGAGUUUAUACUUUGUGAUUGCAAUGAGCAGAUUGUAAAUUAAUCUGCAAGGAUCAAUU
rnacentral:rRNA from 1 species